rnacentral:rRNA from 1 species
CUGAUGACCUUGCCUGAUUUUCCGAGAGGUGGUGCAUGGCCGUCGUCAGUUCGUACCGUAAGGCGUUCUCUUAAGUGAGAUAACGAACGAGACCCUCGCCGUUAAUUGCUAGUGUUCUCUCCGGAGGGCACGCACAUUAACGGGACCGCUGUCGCUAAGACAGAGGAAGGAGAGGUCAACGGUAGGUCCGUAUGCCCCGAAUCUCCUGGGCUACACGCGCGCUACAAAGGUUGGGACAAUGGGCUCCGACAUCGAAAGGUGAAGGCAAUCUCGAAACCCAAUCGUAGUUCGGAUUGAGGGUUGUAACUCACCCUCAUGAAGCUGGAUUCCGUAGUAAUCGCUUGUCAACAUCAAGCGGUGAAUAUGCCCCUGCUCCUU